ACUCUGUACUUUUAUGGACAUUGAGUUUUGUGAAGGAGCACUGAUAUUAAAUGCUAUCAGAGUAUUGUCAUCAUCAGAGUGAAAUUAACCCCACAGCUUCCUUUACUACAUUAAAAUGGCCACCUUUUCCAGAUUGUCGAAACACGGAAAGGAUUUUCAAUUUUGCCAAAUGAUCAGAAUGGCAUGUCAGUAUUAGAAAUCAAGAACUAAACAGAGUCAAAACCUAACUACCUGAUUCGCAAGAAGGGCAAACAACAGUGUCUGCCUCAUCAACCUGUUCUGAGGGCACUUGGUUUUCUCAUUGAGCAGCAUCAAUUAUUUCACCCCAGCGUAACUGUAACUCAGUACAACCAAGGAAGACCAGUUGCUUCCAUGAAGACAAUUUUUAUUUUUCUUCUUUACAUUUUAUUUUGGAUAUGCCUUAGCUAGAUUAAGAGAAAACAAGGAUUUGAAAAGCAGAGUAUCCCUUUUAUUAUAGUUUCUUUUUACAUAACCUUUUCGACCUAGAUUCAGGUCUCUCUCCCAUCAAAGGAGAAGGGUCCUGCACAUUACAACAGGCAAAAAAGGCUUUUAGGAAAUAAAAUAUUUUAAAUUGAUUCAUUACAAUUUUUCAAUUUUCUUGAGUACAUUGGAAGGUGGGAAAAAGGCAGGAGGGAAAGAUGGUGCUUCAAACAGCCUGACCGUAAUAACCUUAGUGAGGUUUAGUACACUCUAUAUUUUUCUCCAAACAGGUUCUAAGGAGGUUCAAGUGCUCUAUGUGGGUGCUUUUCCAUACCUUAAUGUAGCUAUUUUUACUCCCAGUCAUCCUGGCCAGUGUUUAUCUAAAUUCUCUGCAACAUAUUAAGUCUCAAUUAUGCAAAAUAACCCCAGGCAACCACAAACAAGGGGGAAGCACACCCUGGAGAAACAACGCCUGUUUCAAGUACGUUUCCAGAAUUCAGAACUGCCAAUUAAAAGAUGGAGAAUACGCUGCGGGGAGAAGGUAUUAAAAAUGUACCAGAAUUUGAUUAAGAGUAGGAAACGGAGAAUUUUAAGACCGAGUUCCUUAGAAAGAUGGUGACGUAAACAUCUGAGGAGCAGAAAGUUAAAGGGAAGAGAAACUGGUGACAGUCACUUAAAGCAACUCUUUCCUUUGCUGGCAUCCCUUUCUCAAAAGGAAAAAAAACAAACUAAACCCGUGAAAAAUACCUGAAAAUUCACCUCAAUCUGCUACAAUAAUUUAUUGAAGCAAAUUACAGGCAAACG
rnacentral:lncRNA from 1 species